GGCGAUAUGGCCAAGUGGUAAGGCUAAGGUCCGCAAGACCUUGAUCCCCUAGUUCGAAUCUGGGUGUCGCCUCCA
rnacentral:tRNA from 2 species